CACAGCUCACACCCCGCUGGCCGCCCCGGAUCCCGCGCUCGCCUCGCGGUAUCCCCACCAGCUCGCCGCACCUCGGCUGGGAGCUGAGGACCCGCCGCCAGGCACUCCGGCCCCGCCCACCUCGCCUCCUCCAUUGGAUGAAUCUCGGCUGAGGAACCGCCCCUCCGCGUCUCUCAUUUGACGAAGGGCGUGUAGAGCGCGCCGUUCUGGAGCGGUCAAAGAGGCCCCGCCCCCUGGAGUCCAAUGCGAUUGGUCCGGGCGCCUCGUCCCGUAACGCCCCUGGCGGAGACCACGCUCUAGAGGAUCAGGUUGGUCCUGGCUGCUGUCACUCAACCCCGGGGGUCUGAAAGCGCGUGGAGGGGCGAGGCUAGGGCCUGGGUCCACCUUGACCCUGAAGCUCCGCCUCGUCGCGGGCGGGAUUGGUGGAGCUGCAGACCAACCAAGAAAGAUGGGUCGGCGUCUGAAACAAAGCACGCGAAGAGUUCCCAGAAAAACCUAGAAGGGCAGGCGCAAUCGGGGCAGUUUGGGUCUAGCUGCCCGAAGUAGGGGAGGCAGCCCGUCCUUCGUGCCGGGCGCUGCGCGUCCGGGUCUCCUGCCUGCCACGCACGCCUCUGAGCGGCUCUCUGCAGGAGCCCAGCCCGCGCCGAACUUGCACUUCUCUUGCUGGCUGUUUCCUGCAGCUGGACACUGGAUGAAGAAUUGCCGCGUCUUCCUUUCCGGCAGACGCUCCGAUGGGCUGUUCCCACGGCUUCGGGGUUGCGGGCAUCGUCCGUCACCCACACAUCCAGCUGCAGGCUCCAGCCCGCACAGCCGUGGAGGAAAUGCAGUACCCGGGCCGCCCUCGGCAGGGCCCCAGCCUCCUCGGACAAGUCGCAUCCGCUGAGACAGCCGGAGUCACUGCGCUGGGCGGCGGCCCAGAAAGCAAGCUGGCUGCUACUUGGCAGAGGGAGACAUUACUUGGAGGUGACUUCUUACCAGUUCCUUCUCAACACACGAAUAUCAUCCUUCUCGGUGACAUUUAACCUGACAGAGCGUCAGCUGGGCCCUACAGAGACGACUCCCCUUCCAUGUGCCCAGGCUACCAAAGUAGUGCCUGGUGGAUAGCCCUCCUGGACAGACCGCUUCCGUUUUCAGGAUGAGGCCCUUCCUUGGCACGUGAAGGCAAACCUCACUGUUCGCCAGUAGGAACAAGACUGAAGAAUAUUGAAACGAGCUUAACAAACAUCCUGAGAGUGAUUAAGCGACUUGCUUACGUGCACCCAGAAAGAAGAAGAGGCUAAAUGACUGCCCCACCCCAGAGUUAAUUAGCAAAAUAGACAAAAAGGGAAGAAGAAAUAUGUGCUUCUUGAGUCAGCAAGUUUCCACCACAGCAUCAGCUUUUGUUUGAGCAUCUCAUCAGUAAAGACUUCUGAGGGCAUUGCC